AUACGGAAGGUCCGGGCGUUAUCCGGAUUUAUUGGGUUUAAAGGGAGCGUAGGCCGGAGAUUAAGCGUGUUGUGAAAUGUAGAUGCUCAACAUCUGCACUGCAGCGCGAACUGGUUUCCUUGAGUACGCACAAAGUGGGCGGGAUUCGUGGUGUAGCGGUGAAAUGCUUAGAUAUCACGAAGAACUCCGAUUGCGAAGGCAGCUCACUGGAGCGCAACUGACGCUGAAGCUCGAAAGUGCGGGUAUCGAACAGGAUUAGAUACCCUGGUAGUCCGCACGGUAAACGAUGGAUGCCCGCUGUUGGUCUGAAUAGGUCAGCGGCCAAGCGAAAGCAUUAAGCAUCCCACCUGGGGAGUACGCCGGCAACGGUGAAACUCAAAGGAAUUGACGGGGGCCCGCACAAGCGGAGGAACAUGUGGUUUAAUUCGAUGAUACGCGAGGAACCUUACCCGGGCUUGAAUUGCAGAGGAAGGAUUUGGAGACAAUGACGCCCUUCGGGGCCUCUGUGAAGGUGCUGCAUGGUUGUCGUCAGCUCGUGCCGUGAGGUGUCAGCUUAAGUGCCAUAACGAGCGCAACCCCUCUCCUUAGUUGCCAUCAGGUUAAGCUGGGCACUCUGGGGACACUGCCACCGUAAGGUGUGAGGAAGGUGGGGAUGACGUCAAAUCAGCACGGCCCCUACGUCCGGGGCUACACACGUGUUACAAUGGCAGGUACAGAGAGACGGUCCCUUGCAAAAUGGAUCAAAUCCUUAAAGCCUGUCUCAGUUCGGACUGGGGUCUGCAACCCGACCCCACGAAGCUGGAUUCGCUAGUAAUCGCGCAUCAGCCAUGGCGCGGUGAAUACGUUCCCGGGCCUUGUACACACCGCCCGUCAAGCCAUGAAAGCCGGGGGCGCCUAAAGUCCGUGACCGUAAGGAGCGGCCUAGGGCGAAACUGGUAAUUGGGGCU
rnacentral:rRNA from 1 species